UACGAAGGGGGCUAGCGUUGUUCGGAAUUACUGGGCGUAAAGCGCGCGCAGGCGGUCUUCCAAGUCAGUGGUGAAAGCCCGGAGCUCAACUCCGGAACUGCCAUUGAAACUGUGAGACUUGAGGAUGAGAGAGGUGAGUGGAAUUCCCAGUGUAGAGGUGAAAUUCGUAGAUAUUGGGAAGAACACCAGUGGCGAAGGCGGCUCACUGGCUCGUAACUGACGCUCAGGCGCGACAGCGUGGGGAUCAAACAGG
rnacentral:rRNA from 1 species